rnacentral:rRNA from 1 species
GAUGAACGCUGGCGGCGUGCCUAAUACAUGCCAGUCGAGCGAACAGACGAGGAGCUUGCUCCUCUGACGUUAGCGGCGGACGGGUGAGUAACACGUGGAUAACCUACCUAUAAGACUGGGAUAACUUCGGGAAACCGGAGCUAAUACCGGAUAAUAUAUUGAACCGCAUGGUUCAAUAGUGAAAGACGGUUUUGCUGUCACUUAUAGAUGGAUCCGCGCCGCAUUAGCUAGUUGGUAAGGUAACGGCUUACCAAGGCAACGAUGCGUAGCCGACCUGAGAGGGUGAUCGGCCACACUAGAACUGAGACACGGUCCAGACUCCUACGGGAGGCAGCAGUAGGGAAUCUUCCGCAAUGGGCGAAAGCCUGACGGAGCAACGCCGCGUGAGUGAUGAAGGUCUUCGGAUCGUAAAACUCUGUUAUUAGGGAAGAACAAAUGUGUAAGUAACUAUGCACGUCUUGACGGUACCUAAUCAGAAAGCCACGGCUAACUACGUG